AGGAGGCCGUACAUUGUGCAGA
rnacentral:miRNA from 1 species